rnacentral:rRNA from 1 species
AGAGUUUGAUCCUGGCUCAGGAUGAACGCUAGCUACAGGCUUAACACAUGCAAGUCGAGGGGAAACGACAUCGAAAGCUUGCUUUUGAUGGGCGUCGACCGGCGCACGGGUGAGUAACGCGUAUCCAACCUGCCCACCACUUGGGGAUAACCUUGCGAAAGUAAGACUAAUACCCAAUGAUAUCCCACGAAGGCAUCGGAAUGGGAUUAAAGAUUUAUCGGUGAUGGAUGGGGAUGCGUCUGAUUAGCUUGUUGGCGGGGUAACGGCCCACCAAGGCUACGAUCAGUAGGGGUUCUGAGAGGAAGGUCCCCCACAUUGGAACUGAGACACGGUCCAAACUCCUACGGGAGGCAGCAGUGAGGAAUAUUGGUCAAUGGGCGAGAGCCUGAACCAGCCAAGUAGCGUGCAGGACGACGGCCCUAUGGGUUGUAAACUGCUUUUAUAAGGGAAUAAAGUGGGUCACGUGUGACUUUUUGCAUGUACCUUAUGAAUAAGGACCGGCUAAUUCCGUGCCAGCAGCCGCGGUAAUAC